CUAACUCAGAAUGAGAGACUUCAGUGUGUGAUAGAGGUGGCGGCAACUUCGUUUCACACUCGCUUUGAAUCCAAAAAUGUGACGGCAAGAGACUUCUACUGGCUGUGACAGCCAGACAUGCUGUGCUUUUGUUCUCACUUUAAGCCCUGAAAAAAUCAAAACUUAUUUUGCACUGGGGUGAGAACAUGACAAAAAUACUUUGUGCAGGUUACAUAUCUCAGUGGAGUCAGUUCUAGAACAUACUGGGGUAGUUUUAAUGGAGCAAUGGAUUCUACCACUGUGAAGUUUCUAAAACAAAGAGUUUUCACUUCAGCUCCCAGCAGGAGCACUUUUUGCAGCUUGAAGAUUGCUCCAUGUGUCCAGAGGCUAGUGCUCUCAAAAUGAGG
ensembl:lncRNA